CAGUCGCCGCGGUAAAACGUAGGGUGCAAGCGUUAAUCGGAAUUACUAGGCGUAAAGCGUGCGCAGGCGGUUAUUCAAGACAGAUGUGAAAUCCCCGGGCUCAACCUGGGAACUGCAUUUGUGACUGGAUGACUAGAGUACGGCAGAGGGGGAUGGAAUUCCGCGUGUAGCAGUGAAAUGCGUAGAUAUGCGGAGGAACACCGAUGGCGAAGGCAAUCCCCUGGGCCUGUACUGACGCUCAUGCACGAAAGCGUGGGGAGCAAACAGGAUUAGAGACCCCCGUAGUCCCUGUCUCUUAUAC
rnacentral:rRNA from 1 species